rnacentral:lncRNA from 1 species
CAGGUCUUUGUGGGAUAGCCAACAUUUACACCAGCUUGGUUCAAGAAGCGGCCUGCGUGGGAGUGAUUCAACUCUUGUCAACAAUUUUGAGCAUAGAAGGUUGGACCAUAAUCAAUUGGCUAAUUAAAGAAUGCAGAGGUAACAGUGUCAAGAAUCAUGAAUUUACAUUUGGAUGAAAUUUGGUUGGGUGCAACUUACACAAAUAUUGAAAUUUAUUCAUGGAUGAGAAUUAAUAGUGGAUGAAGAAUUCUAGGAUACAUGACGUUGCAUGAAUAAAUGGUGUUAAUUCCCAAGUGAUUAACUUAUUUUGAAGAAAUUUUAAAGAAAAUUUAAAUUAGACUUCAUUUACAAUUGCAAGUA